GGGGAUGUGGCUCAGUGGCAGAGUGCUUGCCUAGCAUGCAUGAGACCCUGGGUUCAAUCCCCAGCACUGCCA
rnacentral:tRNA from 1 species